rnacentral:rRNA from 1 species
CCUGCGGAAGGAUCAUUAUAGAAUGAAUAUUGAUUUUAUUCAAAUCCUGGUGCACUCUUUGUAGACCACUUCUAGUCUAUGUUUAUUUGCAUACUUUGUUAACAGAAUGGGUGAUCAUAAUUUAUUUAUUUUGACAACUUUCAACAACGGAUCUCUUGGUUCUCGCAUCGAUGAAGAACGCAGCGAAAUGCGAUAAGUAAUGUGAAUUGCAGAAUUCAGUGAAUCAUCGAAUCUUUGAACGCAUCUUGCGCUCCUUGGUAUUCCGAGGAGCACGCCCGUUUGAGUGUCGUGAUCAUUCUCAAUUUCUUAUAAUUAGAAAUUGGAUAAAAUGAAGGUUGCUGAGGACUAUAUAUUUGUUUCAGCUCGUUUGAAAGACAAACUUACUUUUGGGUGUUGCAUGAUGAUAAAAAAUUAUUAUGCAUGGGACUCUCUUAAUCUUUGACCUCAAAUCGGGUGGGACUACCCACUGAACUUAAGCAUAUCAAUAAGUGGAGGAAAAGAAACUAACAAGGAUUCCCCUAGUAACUGCGAGUGAAGUGGGAAAAGCUCAAAUUUAAAAUCUGGCAGUUUAUUUAUUUGGCUGUCCGAGUUGUAAUCUAGAGAAGCAUUAUCCGUGUCGGACCGUGUAUAAGUCUCCUGGAAUGGAGUGUCACAGAGGGUGAGAAUCCCGUCUUUGACAUGGACCCCCCGAUGCUAUUGUGAUAUGCUCUCAAAGAGUCGAGUUGUUUGGGAAUGCAGCUCUAAAUGGGUGGUAAAUUCCAUCUAAAGCUAAAUAUUGGCGAGAGACCGAUAGUGAACAAGUACCGUGAGGGAAAGAUGAAAAGAACUUUGAAAAGAGAGUUAAACAGUAUGUGAAAUUGUUGAAAGGGAAACGCUUGAAGUCAGUGACAUUGAUUAGAAAUCAACUUCAUUCAUUUUGGUGAUGGUGCAUUUUCUUAGUUGAUGGGUCAGCAUUGAUUUUGACCGGCAGAGAAAAACAUUCAGGGGAAUGUGGCAUCUUUUCUUAGAUGUGUUAUAACCCCCAUGAUUGAAUGUGUCGGUUGGAAUCGAGGAAAAUCCUGGGGCCCUUUGUUGGGGGCUUACUUGGGGAUGCUGGCAAUAAUGGCUUUAAU